AGUGUAGGCGGGAUAUCAAGUCAGAAGUGAAAAUUACGGGCUCAACUCGUAACCUGCUUUUGAAACUGACAUUCUUGAGUGAAGUAGAGGCAAGCGGAAUUCCUAGUGUAGCGGUGAAAUGCGUAGAUAUUAGGAGGAACACCAGUGGCGAAGGCGGCUUGCUGGGCUUUUACUGACGCUGAGGCUCGAAAGCGUGGGGAGCAAACA
rnacentral:rRNA from 1 species